rnacentral:rRNA from 1 species
UACGUAGGGUGCAAGCGUUAAUCGGAAUUAUUGGGCGUAAAGAGCUCGUAGGCGGUCUGUCGCGUCGGCUGUGAAAACCCGGAGCUCAACUCCGGGCCUGCAGUCGAUACGGGCAAACUGGAGUGUUGCAGGGGAGACUGGAAUUCCUGGUGUAGCGGUGAAAUGCGCAGAUAUCAGGAGGAACACCGGUGGCGAAGGCGGGUCUCUGGGCAACAACUGACGCUGAGGAGCGAAAGCGUGGGGAGCGAACAGG